rnacentral:rRNA from 1 species
AACGAACGCUGGCGGCACGUUUUAAGCAUGCAAGUCGAAUGGCAGCAGGGGCAACUCUGUGAGAAUGGCGAACGGGUGAGUAACACGUAGGUGAUCUGCCUUGAGGAUGGGGAUAGCCUGUGGAAACACAGGGUAAUACCGAAUAAGCUGACGGGACUUUGGUUUUGUUAGUAAAGGCGCUACGGCACCGCCUUGAGAGGAGCCUGCGGCUGAUUAGCUAGUUGGUGGGGUAAAGGCCUACCAAGGCGACGAUCAGUAGCCGGCCUGAGAGGGCGUACGCCACACUGGGAAUGAGACACGGCCCAGACUCCUACGGGAGGCAGCAGCUAAGAAUCUUCCGCAAUGGGCGAAAGCCUGACGGAGCGAUGCCGCGUGGUCGAUGAAGGUCGAGAGAUUGUAAAGAUCUUUUCUACAUGAGGAAUAAGUCUGGGAGGGAAUGCCUGGAUGAUGACGUUAGUGUAGGAAUAAGCCCCGGCUAAUUACGUGCCAGCCGCCGCGGUAA